CAUUAUGGGACUCUUUAAAAUUAGAAGUAUUUGCUUCUUAUAAAAAAUAAAUGUUUCCCCCUUUAAUUAGUUCUCAAAAGUACAAGAUAUGUAUUGAGACAUGGGCUUCAAUAAUCUGAUGGAGACAGAGGUGAGAUUAUGAAAGAUAAAGGAGAGAUCACUUUCCCUUUCAAAACAAUGUCUAAGACAAUAUUUUCUUCCCUGAAAAAUAAGCAUUAUUUCAUAUGAAUUCUUAAAGCAAUCUUCUACUUCAGUGGGAACUUUUGUUUGGGAAACUGAGGCUCAAGAGACUGGGCUGGCUGAGGUUACACAGGUUGGCAACCUGUAGAAAUAGACCUGGAGCUACAUUCUUCUUUCCAGAGGCUUUUGACCCACCUUGAAGGCACCCCCUUGCCAUAAAAGGAGCUAUAUUGUCCCUUGUAGACCUGCUUACAAGAUAGAAAAAAGACCUUGAGACAUGCUGAAAUCCAAUCUGAUUUUCACUGGAGAUUUGUAAGGCUGAUCCAACCUUUUACAAAGCGCCUCUUCUAGGGUUCAUUGCAGCCAUCAGUACAGAGAACUCUCAAUCCCCAGGGCAAUUUUACCUGUGCUCUGUCAGUUAGUCCUCUUUUCUGCCAGAUGCCAGCCACUAUUUCCUUCUCCCUUGCUCUGGGUCCCUUUGAUCCUGCUGCCACCAAUGAUGACUGUUGUAGCGCUGGUGCUCUCCACAGCCUCCCUCAUCGGUGGCCACUGAUCAUGCCCACACUGCAGCUGUGACUGCCCAAAGCAUCCAUCUCAAAGCUAUUAACCUACAGGAAGCUGAUUUUUCAGAAGGGCUUAGCCCUAUCUUCCAGAGCUCCAGGCGUUCCUCAUUGCCAAGGCUACCAGCACAGAGAUGCCACUUUGUACUCUUAACAUGUGUACCCUUAAUAUCCAGGCAGAUUUUAGUGAAUCCCCUCUGUUUCUGUUAUUUUUAUUUAUACACCAUGCUUUUGGCCAAAGACUCUUAGAAGCGGGUAAAAUAUCUGAGUGGCAGACAUAGUGUGGUUCUCACAGUAUCUUCUUCCUUUCCAAUAUCAGUCUGUAUCUUGAGUCCUUAUUUAUUACUUAAGAUGAGUCUCUCCUAGGAUUCCUCUUCACUCAGCCAUAAAGGACUCAUCUCUGUUAUCCUGCACAGGUAUCUGGGUUUGCUGAAGCUGAAUUGUAAACAACAUCAUUGUUGAUAAGUUUGUGUGUGUGUUUGUGUGUGUGUGUGUUCUCACAAGGUUAAUUACUCUUCAUAUUUCUAUUAGAGCAGUGAGUAACAUUCCUAAUAUGCAUAUCUCCUAUAUUUUUUAAUAAUAAUAGUGGCUAACAUUUAUUUAUCCCCAUAUCCAUCAUUUCACUUAACACCGUCAGUAACCCGAGAGGGGAGGUGCCCUUGUUUCAUUUUACAGAUGGAGAAAACUGGCACGCUAUGAGAUUAAACACCUACCCAAGAUCACUUAGACUGCGAGUACCAGCAGUGAGUUUCUACUCCAGCUCUCUCUCCAAAACUUAAGAUUUAGAUCUCUUUCAUAAGUUGCAGAGUGUGAUUUAUUAUGGAUUAUGAAAAGUGUCCAUUACAGGCUCUUCCUGGGCCUGGAAGGGCUACCACCAUUCUUCAUUGGCUGAUGCUCCCAUGUGGCUCAGGGCUCCAGUUGCCUGCUCCAGGGAGCCUUCAAUGACUAUCCUUUAAUGCUCCCACCCACUCCUCAUGUGCAAAGGGUUUAAGCUUAUGAAACACCAAAGCCAAGAAUAAAGUUCUUUGACUGGAAUUUCUCCUUUCCUGUAACACCACCUACAAGAAACUUUUAAUUUGUGUGGGUUAAAGAAGCAUCUUUGAUGAAGUGGAAAAGAGACAGUAUAAUAAAGUUACAAAACACAGUGCAACUGCCACAGCUCAGAGAAAAACACCAGAUUGGGAAUCAGGAGACUGGCCCUGGGAGUAUGGAGGCCUUUGGAACUCGCUAGCAGGAGGAAUUUGGAAAGAUUUGGAGAUGCUGGCUGGAGAAGCAUCCCUGAAUACUGUAAGCUGAAUUUGGUGGGACAUUCUGGUUAGUGCUCAGAAGACCAGCAUGCUGACAGAAAUACAGCUGGUAAAGACCAGGAUCAGGAGGUUUCAGUUGGGAACAAGGAGUGCAUUGGCAGUUGGACUCUAGGCCAUGUGUGUUAUGCUUUGGCAGAAAAUGUGCCUACAUUUUGCUCGUGUCGUGAGACUUUGCCAGAGACUGAGAUUAAGCAUGGCUGACUAAUUAAUCUGGUGGAGGAAAUGUCAAGGCAGCCAAACACUCAGGCUGUAACUUGGGUACUAUUGGGGAUUUUAGCCAGCUCUAACUUGAGAAUCAAGAGCUAAAAGCACAGCUGAAUGAUUUUAAAAGUUUUGAGUUGGGCCAGAAAGGAAGCUCCUAUAAAGAUGGAGCCUGCAAAGAUGAAGUAGAUAAAAGCUUGAUUGCUAAAAAGAUUAGCAUUAAAAGAACCCAUGAAGGGGAAGUGAGAGGGGUAGGGGAAAGGAAA